rnacentral:rRNA from 1 species
UGCAUAUCAAAUAAGCGGAGGAAAAGAAACCAACAGGGAUUGCCUUAGUAGCGGCGAGUGAAGCGGCAAUAGCUCAAAUUUGAAAUCUGGCGCCUUCGGUGUCCGAGUUGUAAUUUGAAGAAGGUAUCUUUGGUUUUGGCUCUUGUCUAUGUUUCUUGGAACAGGACGUCAUAGAGGGUGAGAAUCCCGUCUGAUGAGAUGCCCAAUUCCAUGUAAAGUUCCUUCGACGAGUCGAGUUGUUUGGGAAUGCAGCUCUAAGUGGGUGGUAAAUUCCAUCUAAAGCUAAAUAUUGGCGAGAGACCGAUAGCGAACAAGUACUGUGAAGGAAAGAUGAAAAGAACUUUGAAAAGAGAGUGAAAAAGUACGUGAAAUUGUUGAAAGGGAAGGGUUUAAGGUCAGACUUGGUUUACCAGGCCAGCAUCGGUUUAGAUGGCAGGAUAAUGGCGUAGGAAUGUGGCUUUGCUUCGGUAAAGUGUUAUAGCCUGCGUUGAUACUGCCUAUUUAGACCGAGGACUGCGUCUUUGACAAGGAUGCUGGCAUAAUGGCCUUAAGCCACCCGUCUUGAAACCACGG